UACAGAGGGGGCAAGCGUUAUUCGGAAUUAUUGGGCGUAAAGGGCGCGUAGGCGGCCAUUCAAGUGACGGGUGAAAGCCCUCGGCUUAACCGAGGAACUGCCUGUCAGACUGGAUGGCUUGAGACCGGGAGAGGUGAGUGGAACUGCGAGUGUAGAGGUGAAAUUCGUAGAUAUUCGCAAGAACACCAGUGGCGAAGGCGGCUCACUGGCCCGAUACUGACGCUGAGGUGCGAAAGCGUGGGGAGCAAACAGG
rnacentral:rRNA from 1 species